rnacentral:rRNA from 1 species
UACGAAGGGGGCUAGCGUUGCUCGGAAUUACUGGGCGUAAAGGGUGCGUAGGUGGUUUCUUAAGUCAGAGGUGAAAGGCUACGGCUCAACCGUAGUAAGCCUUUGAAACUGGGAAACUUGAGUGCAGGAGAGGAGAGUGGAAUUCCUAGUGUAGCGGUGAAAUGCGUAGAGAUCGGAAAGAACACCAACGGCGAAAGCACUCUGCUGGGCCGACACUGACACUGAGAGACGAAAGCUAGGGGAGCGAAUGGG